rnacentral:rRNA from 1 species
UACGAAGGGGGCUAGCGUUGUUCGGAAUUACUGGGCGUAAAGGGUGCGUAGGCGGUAGAGUGUGUCUGAUGUGAAAUUCCUUGGCUUAACCAGGGAACUGCAUUGGAAACUGCUUUACUCGAGUUCAAGAGGGGAUGGUGGAAUUCCCGGUGUAGAGGUGAAAUUCGUAGAUACCGGGAGGAACACCUGGGGCGAAGGCGACCAUCUGGCUUGAAACUGACGCUGAGGCACGAAAGCGUGGGUAGCAAACAGG